ACAGUAGAAUGCUCCGGCCGGUGUCCAGAGCUUUUGGUAAAUGGAGUUUGAUCUAGAUAAAGCACUGGAAGAAGUACCUAUCCAUAUAGAAGACCCACCAUUUCCUUCCAGCAGGCCAGACAAACGAACUUCUGGAUUCAUUUCAGAGCUGCCAUCAGAAGAAGGGAGAAAACUGGAACACUUUACAAAAUUAAGGCCCAAAAGGAACAAAAAGCAGCAGCCCAGCCAAGCAGCAGUGUCUGCUGGAGUGCCUCCAGAAGGGGAUCAGAAUGGCCUUAUGGGGAGAGUGGAUGAAGGUGUGGAUGAAUUUUUCACUAAGAAAGUGACAAAAAUGGACUCAAA